rnacentral:rRNA from 1 species
AUUGAACGCUGGCGGCAUGCUUUACACAUGCAAGUCGAACGGUAACAGGCCUUCGGGCGCUGACGAGUGGCGAACGGGUGAGUAAUGCAUCGGAACGUGCCCAGUCGUGGGGGAUAACGCAGCGAAAGCUGUGCUAAUACCGCAUACGAUCUGCGGAUGAAAGCGGGGGACCUUCGGGCCUCGCGCGAUUGGAGCGGCCGAUGUCAGAUUAGGUAGUUGGUGGGGUAAAGGCUCACCAAGCCAACGAUCUGUAGCUGGUCUGAGAGGACGACCAGCCACACUGGGACGGAGACACGGCCCAGACUCCUACGGGAGGCAGCAGUGGGGAAGUUUGGACAAUGGGCGCAAGCCUGAUCCAGCAAUGCCGCGUGCAGGAAGAAGGCCUUCGGGUUGUAAACUGCUUUUGUACGGAGCGAAAAGGCUCCCUCUAUACAGGGGGCUCAUGACGGUACCGUAAGAAUAAGCACCGGCUAACUACGUGCCAGCCGCCGCAGUAAAAC